rnacentral:tRNA from 1 species
GUGGAUAUAGCUCAAUAGGUAGAGUACUUGCCUUGCAUGCAGAAGGCCCUGGGUUCAAUCUCCAGCAUCACA